CAGUCGCCGCGGGAAUACGAAGGGUGCAAGCGUUAAUCGGAAUUACUGGGCGUAAAGCGUGCGUAGGCGGUGAGUUAAGUCUGCUGUGAAAUCCCCGGGCUCAACCUGGGAAUGGCAGUGGAUACUGGCUCGCUAGAGUGUGUCAGAGGAUGGUGGAAUUCUCGGUGUAGCGGUGAAAUGCGUAGAGAUCGGGAGGAACAUCAGUGGCGAAGGCGGCCAUCUGGGACAACACUGACGCUGAGGCACGAAAGCGUGGGGAGCAAACAGGAUUAGAUACCCCUGUAGUCCCUGUCUCUUAUAC
rnacentral:rRNA from 1 species